GACGAACGCUGGCGGCGUGCUUAACACAUGCAAGUCGAACGGAAAGGCCCUGCUUUUGUGGGGUGCUCGAGUGGCGAACGGGUGAGUAACACGUGAGUAACCUGCCCUUGACUUUGGGAUAACUUCAGGAAACUGGGGCUAAUACCGGAUAGGAGCUCCUGCUGCAUGGUGGGGGUUGGAAAGUUUCGGCGGUUGGGGAUGGACUCGCGGCUUAUCAGCUUGUUGGUGGGGUAGUGGCUUACCAAGGCUUUGACGGGUAGCCGGCCUGAGAGGGUGACCGGCCACAUUGGGACUGAGAUACGGCCCAGACUCCUACGGGCGGCAGCAGUGGGGAAUAUUGCACAAUGGGCGGAAGCCUGAUGCAGCAACGCCGCGUGCGGGAUGACGGCCUUCGGGUUGUAAACCGCUUUCGCCUGUGACGAAGCGUGAGUGACGGUAAUGGGUAAAGAAGCACCGGCUAACUACGU
rnacentral:rRNA from 1 species